AUUAAGAGAACAAUAAUGACAACUUAAUUACAAUUUAUUGCCCUUCAAUGGUGCUCAAAAUCUGUUGCCUGAGAAUGAUGGCCUGGAACAAAUGUCCUAAAAUAUAUGCCUUGUACAGCAAUUAGAUUGUAACCCAGUGUGUCAGAUUUCAUCAACAUUCUUCACAGUUGGAAUUACUGGAGUUGAAUUUCAUCACAAAUGAAAGAAUACUACCAAAACUUUCAGAAUUUCCAAAGAGGCACAGGUAUGAUACCUGUUAAUUCUCAUUAUAGAGUUUUCAUAUAUUUGUCAGUUCAAAUAUAUUUGAACUGUGAAUUAUAGCAUAUGAUUAAGUACACCACAAAAACCUGCCAUUUUAUUGCUGUCCCUGAAAAUGGAGUUCUUUAAGGA